rnacentral:rRNA from 1 species
AGUUUGAUCCUGGCUCAGGAUGAACGCUAGCUACAGGCUUAACACAUGCAAGUCGAGGGGAAACGACAUCGAAAGCUUGCUUUUGAUGGGCGUCGACCGGCGCACGGGUGAGUAACGCGUAUCCAACCUGCCCACCACUUGGGAAUAACCUUGCGAAAGUAAGACUAAUACCCAAUGACGUCUCUAGAAGACAUCUGAAAGAGAUUAAAGAUUUAUCGGUGAUGGAUGGGGAUGCGUCUGAUUAGCUUGUUGGCGGGGUAACGGCCCACCAAGGCUACGAUCAGUAGGGGUUCUGAGAGGAAGGUCCCCCACAUUGGAACUGAGACACGGUCCAAACUCCUACGGGAGGCAGCAGUGAGGAAUAUUGGUCAAUGGACGAGAGUCUGAACCAGCCAAGUAGCGUGCAGGAUGACGGCCCUAUGGGUUGUAAACUGCUUUUAUAAGGGAAUAAAGUGAGUCUCGUGAGACUUUUUGCAUGUACCUUAUGAAUAAGGACCGGCUAAUUCCGUGCCAGCAGCCGCGGUAAUACGGAAGGUCCGGGCGUUAUCCGGAUUUAUUGGGUUUAAAGGGAGCGUAGGCCGGAGAUUAAGCGUGUUGUGAAAUGUAGAUGCUCAACGUCUGCACUGCAGCGCGAACUGGUUUCCUUGAGUACGCACAAAGUGGGCGGAAUUCGUGGUGUAGCGGUGAAAUGCUUAGAUAUCACGAAGAACUCCGAUUGCGCAGGCAGCUCACUGGAGCGCAACUGACGCUGAAGCUCGAAAGUGCGGGUAUCGAACAGGAUUAGAUACCCUGGUAGUCCGCACGGUAAACGAUGGAUGCCCGCUGUUGGUCUGAAUAGGUCAGCGGCC